UGGGAUGUAGCUCAGUGGUAGAGUGCUUUCCUGUCAUGCACAAGGACCUGGGUUCAAUUCCCAAUAUGGCAA
rnacentral:tRNA from 1 species